GGGGCUAUAGCUCAGUUGGUAGAGCGCUGCAUUCGCAUUGCAGAGGCCGACGGUUCGAACCCGUUUAGCUCCA
rfam:Bdellovibrionales bacterium GWB1_55_8 gwb1_scaffold_97, whole genome shotgun sequence.